UACGACUACAUAUCAGGCAUAUCAAUAAGCGGAGGAAAAGAAACUAACUAGGAUUCCCUCAGUAACGGCGAGUGAAGCGGGAAGAGCUCAAAUUUGAAAUCUUCAAGGUUUUACCUUGACGAAUUGUAGUUUAAAGAAGUGUUUUCUGUUGGAGUUUUGGUAAAAGUUCUUUGGAAUAGGACAUCAUAGAGGGUGAGAAUCCCGUAUUUGACCAUUAUUUCCAGCUUUGUGAUACACUUUCAAAGAGUCGGAUUGUUUGGGAAUGCAGUCCAAAAUGGGUGGUAAAUUUCAUCUAAAGCUAAAUAUUGGCGAGAGACCGAUAGCGAACAAGUACCGUGAGGGAAAGAUGAAAAGAACUUUGUAAAGAGAGUUAAACAGUACGUGAAAUUGUCAAAAGGGAAGCGUUUGACACCAGUGUUGUUUCUACGAAAAUCAAUUUAUGAUGGCUUGAUGCUAAGCUUUAAGACUUUAUCCGCUUGUUGUUUAGUUUUCUUGUCUUUGUGAAUGCACUUUUCGUGGAACAAGUCAACAUCAAUUUCUUUUCGCUGUAAAAGGGUAAGAGGAAGGUGGCUUCGGCUUCGGUUGAAGUGUUUAUAGCCUUUUAUCUCUGCAGUCGGAGAGAUUGAGGUCUGCAGCGUAGACUCUUCGGGGUUAGAUACGUCGGUGCUAAGCUAUAGCUUUUCAUAGACAACUUGUUGACUAUGUUUAGUCAUGUGGCUUACCCGCUGGCGCUAUUUUACCUACGCUUAGGAUGUUGACUGAUAUGUAGUCGUA
rnacentral:rRNA from 1 species